rnacentral:misc_RNA from 1 species
GAUGAAGAACGUGGCGAAAUGCGAUAAGUAGUGUGAAUUGCAGAAUUCAGUGAAUCAUCGAAUCUUUGAACGCACAUUGCGCCCUUUGGUAUUCCAAAGGGCAUGCCUGUUCGAGCGUCAUUUGUACCCUCAAGCUUUGCUUGGUGUUGGGCGUCUUGUCUCUAGCUUUGCUGGAGACUCGCCUUAAAGUAAUUGGCAGCCGGCCUACUGGUUUCGGAGCGCAGCACAAGUCGCACUCUCUAUCAGCAAAGGUCUAGCAUCCAUUAAGCCUUUUUUUCAACUUUUGACCUCGGAUCAGGUAGGGAUACCCGCUGAACUUAAGCAUAUCAAUAAGCGGAGGA